UACGAAGGGGGCGAGCGUUGUUCGGAUUUACUGGGCGUAAAGGGCGCGCAGGCGGCCGCAUUUGUCAGGCGUGAAAGCCCCGGGCUUAACCUGGGAACUGCGUUUGAUACGGUGUGGCUAGAGUUCGGGAGAGGAGAGUGGAAUUCCCAGUGUAGAGGUGAAAUUCGUAGAUAUCAGGAGGAACACCGGUGGCGAAGGCGGGUCUCUGGGCCGAUACUGACGCUGAGGAGCGAAAGCGUGGGGAGCGAACAGG
rnacentral:rRNA from 1 species